UUUUGAAUGACCACGUGAUAUCAUAACUCACGUGAUUCAUACUGAUGGUGUUAUUGGUUAAAGAAGCAAAGCGUGACGUAACCAAUGCAAUGACGAGCAGUUGGUACCAUUUCUUAUCAGUUUAUCAAAGUUCUUCAAUGACUUAACAAAGAAAAUAGUUUUUCUUGUAUAUACCUUUAGAGCGGAAAUCAAAACUCUGAAAAUGUCUUUCAUUGAUAGAAGAGAAUAUCCCAUAUAGAUGUACAUAUUAACUUUAGACUUUAUGUUUACAAAAAUAUAAUGUUGAAUCAAACUUGUUUGAUAAAUUAAAAGUUAUGUUAAAGAUUAUAGGGGGGGGGGGGAGUUGUAAUGGCGUAGUAGUUUUGAUAAAAAUAGGCCAAAUAAUUUUUAAAAAAAAUACACGAUCUCCAGUAUUUUUCUAACAUACAUAAAUCUUCCGCCUGUCAAUUCUUAAAAUCAUAUUUACUACUUACUUAUUUAACAUUUGAUAUACAUGAAAAGAGUUGCACCCUCAUCCAGGAUUGUUCAAAUAUACAGCAUAUUAGCACAAGCAAGAGCUUAAUCAAAGCGCUUAAAGCACCGAUGGUAUUCGAUACCACAGAUCGGUCAGUCUUUGUUUUGAGCAGAGUUUAUGCAAUUAAAGAGUAAAGUGGACUCUUUUUCGCAUUCAGUAAGUUACAAAUGUAGUCAGUAGCACAUCGGUUUGCAAUAAAGAAUUUUUUAACCGAAUUUUUCGUGCCGGAAAAUAAAAUGAAGAGAUUCAUUUACAUCAUCAACUUACAACCAGGUAUUACAUAUCUCAUUCAAACUGUAGAAUCUAUGCAUUACCUCUUCUCCUAUUUGUACAGUAUUCUUCACCAACAUUUGGUAGCCCACUUUUUUCGAAGACUAUCUUUUAAAUAUGUUAAAUUACAUUUAUUAUUUACACAAUUCUUAAAAUCUAUUUUCAAAAUCUUUUCAGUUGGAUAGUGUGUUGUUUUUCCUUAGGUUUCUUUAUAUAUGUGUUUUAACAAUGUGUUAAUUGAAUUUUGCAAUGAGGCAUAAGAAACUUAAAUCAAAUGUUUGACCUCUUGCUUCUUAUUUUCGAUCAUUUUGUUUUAGGAUUUUAAUUGAAAAAUUGUUAAUUAUUUGUGAGAUAAUAUUUAUUGAAAAUGUAUGUUAGAUUCUAUCAAUGUUCAUUGAUAAAGGAGUACGUUAUUUCUUUUGCUGACCUUUCACCUUGUGUAGCUUCACUUUUAAAAAUUUCCACCCUUAGCCCAAAAUAAAAAGGAAUGUCACUCGUUAAUACGCUUGCAUUUAAUACUUCAUUAUCUUUCAAUGUAUAUAUCCGUUAUUAUAGAAACAACGUCUUGACAAUCCUGGCAUCUACAUGUAUAUAAACAUUCCAUUUUGUAUGAUUCUCUUUCGGCGAAAGUAAUGAAUAUUACAAAGUUCUGUCCAUAACAUGUUAACUUGGAAAAGUUUAAACAAUACGUGGUGUAUACCGAUUCACAGGUAUUUACCAAGGGAAAAAAAGGUUUGAUCGUUAAUGCAAUUACUACAAUGUUUUGUGAUAGAAAGAAAGAUGUAUUUCAUAUUUGUUUAACAAUUAUUGUAACCUGUACUAUUUCUACUCGAAUAAAUUUCUUUAUACGCUUA